rnacentral:rRNA from 1 species
CCUACGGGUGGCAGCAGUGGGGGAUAUUGCACAAUGGGGGAAACCCUGAUGCAGCGACGCCGCGUGAGUGAAGAAGUAUUUCGGUAUGUAAAGCUCUAUCAGCAGGGAAGAAAAUGACAUUACCUGACCAACAAGCCCCGUCUAACAACUUGCCAGCAGCCGCGGUAAUACGUAGGGGGCAAGCGUUAUCCGGAUUUACUGGGUGUAAAGGGAGCGUAGAGGGUUAUUGAAGUCUGUAGUGAAAGGCCGGGGCCCAACCCCGGGACUGCUUUGGAAACUGUAUAACUGGAGUGCAGGAGGGGCAGGCGGAAUUCCUGGUGUAGCGGUGAAAUGCGUAGAUAUCAGGAGGAACACCGGUGGCGAAGGCGGCCUGCUGGACUGAAACUGACGUUGAGGCUCGAAAGCGUGGGGAGCAAACAGGAUUAGAUACCCGAGUAGUC